rnacentral:rRNA from 1 species
GAUGAACGCUGGCGGCGUGCCUAAUACAUGCAAGUCGAGCGAAUGGAUUAAGAGCUUGCUCUUAUGAAGUUAGCGGCGGACGGGUGAGUAACACGUGGGUAACCUGCCCAUAAGACUGGGAUAACUCCGGGAAACCGGGGCUAAUACCGGAUAACAUUUUGAACCGCAUGGUUCGAAAUUGAAAGGCGGCUUCGGCUGUCACUUAUGGAUGGACCCGCGUCGCAUUAGCUAGUUGGUGAGGUAACGGCUCACCAAGGCAACGAUGCGUAGCCGACCGGAGAGGGUGAUCGGCCACACUGGGACGGAGACACGGCCCAGACUCCUACGGGAGGCAGCAGUAGGGAAUCUUCCGCAAUGGAUGAAAGUCUGACGGAGCAACGCCGAGUGGGUGAUGAAGGCUUUCGGGUCGUAAAACUCUGUUGCUAGGGAAGAACAAGUGCUAGUUGAAUAAGCUGGCACCUUGACGGUACCUAACCAGAAAGCCACGGCUAACUACGUGCCAGCAGCCGCCGUAA